AGAGUUUGAUCCUGGCUCAGAUUGAACGCUGGCGGCAUGCCUUACACACGCAAGUCGAACGGCAGCACGGGAGCAAUCCUGGUGGCGAGUGGCGAACGGGUGAGUAAUAUAUCGGAACGUACCUUUCAGUGGGGGAUAACGUAGCGAAAGUUACGCUAAUACCGCAUAUUCUGUGAGCAGGAAAGCAGGGGAUCGCAAGACCUUGCGCUGAUUGAGCGGCCGAUAUCAGAUUAGCUAGUUGGUGAGGUAAAGGCUCACCAAGGCGACGAUCUGUAGCGGGUCUGAGAGGAUGAUCCGCCACACUGGAACUGAGACACGGUCCAGACUCCUACGGGAGGCAGCAGUGGGGAAUUUUGGACAAUGGGGGCAACCCUGAUCCAGCCAUGCCGCGUGAGUGAAGAAGGCCUUCGGGUUGUAAAGCUCUUUCAGCCGGGAAGAAAUCACAUGGGUUAAUACCCUGUGUGGAUGACGGUACCG
rnacentral:rRNA from 1 species